CACACACUAACGCAUGCACACACACACACACACACACACACACACACACACACACACACACACACACACACACACACACACACACACACACACACACAUAUUAACCUCAAACUAACCACACACACAGAACUGCCCAAACUCUCGGUGUGACACACAAUUUCAAAGGGAGCAUGCACACACACCAACACUAGGCCUACUGAUCCUCCUGGCUUCACAUGAAAGGACCUGCUGAGGGUGUGGUGAUGAUGAUAAGAAAACCUGACGGCCUCCUACAGUGCAGCUGAUGUCACUCAGAAAACAACAAAGCAGAUAAACAAGUCCUCAAAACAUUUUGAUUAAAUUGACGAUAAUAGCCACAAAGUAAGACAAAUAGAGCCUCAAGGAAGAAUUCAACGUUUGAAAUGUCUUCUAUCUUCUUUUAUAGAGAGAGGGGGGUUAAGCAAUCCGACGGCUGUUCUGGGAAGGAGGUCUACCGGGGAAAUAGGUCGAUUGUCUCCAUCUGGUGGAGCUAUGGGGGCGGGGUAGGCAGUGCAAGCGAGCCGACCACGGUAACGGUGGUUCGGAUGAACCGACACGGUCACCGCCCUUCACAACCACAGCCGCUAAUGAAAAGAACAGAACUCCAUCGUUUACUCGCGUUUCAACCGGUCUCUCCAUUCAUCCAUGCCUUCCCCCAGACCACAGGGAUCCACUCAUCUGUAUGACUCACGCCCGGUGGCUCGAGGCGGGGCCAGAAGAUCCCCCACAGAGGACAGAGGCAACGCUCACAGGCAAACACACUAACAAGGUAAUCAAUAAGUCAAUGAAUUAACAUUUGCAACCACAACAGGACCCAUGGGACCCAGACAAAGAGAGAGAGUGGUGUGUAAAUAGGCCAAAGGGGAAGAGAGGCAGAAAGAUAAGAGAGUGAGGGAGAGACAGAGAGAGAGAGAGAGAGAGAGAGAGAGAGAGAGAGAGAGAGAGAGAGAGACAGAGAGACAGAGAGACAGAGAGACAGAGAGACAGAGAGACAGAGAGAGAGAGGGAGAGAGAGAGAGAGAGAGAGAGAGAGAGAGAGAGAGAGAGGAGACAGAGAGACAGAGAGAGAGAGAGAGACAGAGAGACAGAGAGACAGAGACAGAGAGAGAGAGAGAGAGAGAGAGAGAGACAGAGAGAGAGAGAGACAGAGAGAGGUAGAGAGAAAGAGAGAGGUAGAGAGAGAGAGAGAGAGAGAGAGAAAGAUACACAAA